ACGGGAGGCAGCAGUGGGGAAUAUUGCACAAUGGGGGAAACCCUGAUGCAGCGACGCCGCGUGAAGGAAGAAGUAUCUCGGUAUGUAAACUUCUAUCAGCAGGGAAGAUAAUGACGGUACCUGACUAAGAAGCCCCGGCUAACUACGUGCCAGCAGCCGCGGUAAUACGUAGGGGGCAAGCGUUAUCCGGAUUUACUGGGUGUAAAGGGAGCGUAGACGGUUUGCCAAGUCUGAUGUGAAAGGUGGGGGCUCAACCCCCAAACUGCAUUGGAAACUGGUAGACUAGAGUGUCGGAGAGGUAAGUGGAAUUCCUAGUGUAGCGGUGAAAUGCGUAGAUAUUAGGAGGAACACCAGUGGCGAAGGCGGCUUACUGGACGAUAACUGACGUUGAGGCUCGAAAGCGUGGGGAGCAAACAGGAUUAGAUACCCUGGUA
rnacentral:rRNA from 1 species